rnacentral:sRNA from 1 species
CCCUCCAUGCCUCUCGACGAAGCACACUUGGAGGGU